rnacentral:tRNA from 1 species
AGGGAGUUAGUCCAAAACAAGACCUCUGAUUUCGGCUCAAAAAAUCAUGGUUUAAACCCAUGACCCCCUU